UUUUUUUCUUUUUUCUUUUUUUUUGAGAUGGAGUCUUGCUCUGUCACCCAGGCUGGAGUGCAGUGGUGCGAUCUCGGCUCAUUGCAAACUCCACCUCCCGGAUUCACGCUAUUCUCCUGCCUCAGCCUCCUGAGUAGCUGGGACUACAGGCAUCCACCACAACGUCCGGCUAAUAUUUUGUAUUUUUAGUACAGAUGGGGUUUCCCCGUGCUGGCCAGGAUUGUCUCGAUCUCCUGACCUCAUGAUCCGCCCACCUUGGCCUCUCAAAGUGCUGAGAUUACAAGCGUGAGCCACCACACCUGGCAUUUCCUGAUUUUUUAAUGAUUGUCAUUCUAACUGGUGUGAGAUGGUAUCUCAUUGUGGUUUUGAUUUGCAUUUCUCUGAUGGCGAGUGAUGAUGAACUUUUCAUGUGUCUGUUGGUUGUACGAAUGUCUUCUGUUGAGAAGUGUCUGUUCAUAUACUUUGCCCACUUUUUGAUGGGGUUGUUUUUUUCUUGUAAAUUUGCUUGAGUUCUUUGUAGAUUCUGGAUAUUAGCCCUUUGUCAGGUGAGUAGAUUGCAAAAAUUUUCUCCCAUUCUGUAGGUUGCCUGUUCACUCUGAUGGUAGUUUCUUUUGCUGUGCAGAAGCUCUUUAGUUUAAUUAGAUCCCAUUUGUCAUUUUUGGCUUUUGUUGCCAUUGCUUUUGGUGUUUUAGACAUGAAGUCCUUGCCCAUGCCUAUGUCCUGAAUGGUAUUACCUAGGGUUUUUAUGGCUUUAGGUCUAACAUUUAAGUCUCUAAUCCAUCUUGAAUUAAUUUUCGUAUAAGGAGUAAGGAAAGAAUCCAGUUUCAGCUCUCUAUUUAUGGCUAGUCAAUUUUCCCAGCACCAUUUAUUAAAUAGGGAAUCCUUUCCCCAUUUCUUGUUUUUCUCAGGUUUGUCAAAGAUCAGAUGGCUGUAGAUGUGUGAUAUUAUUUCUGAGGGCUCUGUUCUGUUCCAUUGGUCUAUAUCUCUGUUUUGGUACCAGUACCAUGCUGUUUUGGUUACUGUAGCCUUGUAGUAUAGUUUGAAAUCAGGUAGAGUCUUAAGUGUGACUCUUCACAAGUCCAGAGAGUAAUUUGAAGUGAUUGUAAGAG
rnacentral:lncRNA from 1 species